CAUGUGCUCGGUUUCUUCAUCUGCUUCGUACCUACACUCAUUUGACAGCUUGAAAACCAGCGAUAUUCGUAUAACCACGCAGUGUCAUUUCACUGGUUUUUCUAUAAAACUCGCAUGUAUAAUUGCUUAAUCGAAAGAAAAAAAAAUAAAAAAUACGAAAAUCAAAGGUGCAGAAAAGUACAUAUAAAACAGAUAGCAUUCGUUCUGUAUGCAUUUCUCCUUCAUCUCGAUGAGCAAAAGCGUGAAAAUGAAAACAAUCGUGGUAGUAUUUCUUAUUGCAGUCUGCUUCCAAAAUACGAAUGCGAUACCUUUAGGCGACCCUUUUGCUGAUUUGAUCCGCCAACAUCUCGGAGGAGGCGGAGGUGGUCCUAUAUCGACGUUCGGUGGAGGUGAUUCAUCUUACCCUCCUGUAAGAGUCAUGAGUCGUGUACCGUCCCGUGGUGGAAGUUUCUCGCUUUUUGGCGAUUCUGAUCCUGAUGAAGGUCGCAGAGGUGGCCGCAGUGGUGGAGGUCUUUUCAAACCUAAGGAUAGUAAUGCAGGAAAUUCCAAAAGUGAGGAAAACAGAGGAAUUCGCAGACCAGCACCAGUACCAGUUACCGUCCCGAGGACUAUGAGUAUGCCUUGGGGUAGGCGGCCAUGGUGAAGAUGACUACACUGGUCCAUCUUCGAGAUGCUUUGAUUAUAUAAAAUUGAUCAUUAUUCACGAAUUAUCUCACUACACGUUAUAAAUUAAUUAGAUUAUACGAACUGAUAUGCCCAUAUUUCAAUAUUACACGCUACUAAGUAUUCGAUAACGAAUUGCGCAUCAACAGGUAGGUCUAUUUCAUUUUAGAACCAUUUUAUAUUAAAUAUCUGAAGAUUAAAAUACAUACUAUUUGCAACAUGA